UGACGGGAGGAGGACGUGCGCGGUUCCGGUCUGCAACCGCGCUUCAUGAUUGAGGGGCCAGCGACCACCAGCCGUCGAUCGAGGACCACAGCCACAUACAGGUGCAUUGCAUCACAGGACCCUCAUGUGAGACGUCGAAGUUGAGCGAGAUGAUGCUCAAUUUGGAGCCGGGACUCUGCGUUCGCGACGUCGCGAUGAUUCAACCUGGUGCCUGCCUCCUCACGCCGCGCCGCGACCCCCUCUGGCUGCAGCUCAACCCCCUCGAGGCCGUCAGUCUGAUCAUCGGCCAGCAGCGAGUGGCAGGUCGGCAAGACGAAGCUGUUCCUGCGGAGGAGCAUUGCAGUCGCUGGUCAUCCAGCGCUCGUUGAAACGCUACAAGGCCGUCAAAGAGUUCACGAGUGUGCGGUGGGCGGCGCUGACCAUCCAGCAUGGCAUCCUCUUCCUCAGACAGCGCCGCGUCGCCGUCGUCAUCCAGUCGCACCUCCGCGCGGCGUCUUCACCAGAGAGGUGGCCAGUGCUCUCAGCGAAAUGCGGCGCGUCGAGCAUUUCCUACUGUCAAAAUUUUAAAUUUUAUGUUUGAAUAAAAGGAUUGUCAAAUACGAAUCUUUUUUAUUUAAUAAAUCAAGUCAAAAUAUUACGAGAGGAUCUUGUAGUCUUUUUGGUUCCUCCUUCUGGUUUUCAUGCUCGGCCUGUCCGCGGCCUUCAUCAACUUCACCGCCGUUUUUGAGUGGGAGAACUUUGACUUUUUGUGGCUCUCAGAAGAUUUUAGAAAAGAAGCUUUGAAAAAGAAAGGGUAUAAUCGUAUUAUCCCAGAGGAUCAUGUCGUUUACGGGGAAUGAGUGUUUAUCAGCAUUUAUAAAUCGAGAGAUUACCCAAUACCAUUUACCCUAAACUGGCUGUCGACCACUGCGUCUUCAAGGUCUCCGAA